rnacentral:rRNA from 1 species
AGAGUUUGAUCCUGGCUCAGAUUGAACGCGGCGGCAUGCUUUACACUGCAAGUCGAACGGUAGACCCUUUCGGGGGUUGAGAGUGGCGAACGGUGAGUAAUGCAUCGGAACGUACCCAGUCGUGGGGGAUAACGUAGCGAAAGUUACGCUAAUACCGCUACGUCCUGAGGGAGAAAGCGGGGGACCGUAAGGCCUCGCGCGAUUGGAGCGGCCGAUGUCAGAUUAGCUAGUUGGUGGGGUAAAGGCCUACCAAGGCGACGAUCUGUAGCGGGUCUGAGAGGAUGAUCCGCCACACUGGGACUGAGACACGGCCCAGACUCCUACGGGAGGCAGCAGUGGGGAAUUUUGGACAAUGGGCGCAAGCCUGAUCCAGCCAUGCCGCGUGCGGGAAGAAGGCCUUCGGGUUGUAAACCGCUUUCGGACGGAAAGAACAGGAUUAGAUACCCUGGUAGUC